AUUUGAUUUUAGUUUUAACAAGUGGAGGGAUAUAGAACUGGAUAUUUUAUAAAAUUAAGCUUAUUUUAAGUGUUUUUGUUUGCAUAUUUAAGCUUUUAUAACAAGUGUCAACUAUUUAUUUAGGGGAUCUUAUUCUGUUAUACCUGUUAACUAGGUUGUGCAUUCCUCAGUUGGACACUGAUAGGUCACUCUCAGUAACGACUUUUUAAAAUUAAUCAGCUGCUGAAAUUCAGCAAUAGGACUUUUUUAAGUAAUGUUCUGAUCAUGGGAUAUUCAAGAUGAAGCACUGUUUGCAGACCAUUUUAAUUGUGGAGGAUUAAAAACCAAACUUGUGCUUACUCAGAACUCAAGCUUGUAAGCCUCACAGAAGUUAAAAGAUUUUUUUUAAUUGCACUUAUACUCUUGAAUGGAGAAGGGAGUGGCAACCCAUUUCAGUAUUCUUGCCUGAAGAAUCCCAUGGACAGAGGAACCUGGCAGGCUCCCAUGGGGUCACAGUCAGACACGACUGAGCGCCUAACACUAUAUACUUGAAGUUAGUUAACAUAAGUAAAUUCUUAUGUUACGCAGAAAUUUAAAACAUUGCACCAAGAUAAAAAGAAACUUUUUCUUACAUUUGCACUUGAGCAGAGCGAAACCUUUCUUCCUAUUCAUUCAGGUUUUGACUGCCUUGCAAGAAUUUUUUUUUGUUGUUAAAAUGAGGUUAAUUUAUAUUAGUAGCAAAAUGAAUCAAGAUUGUGCUUUCCUAUCCCCUACUCCUCCUUUCCUUAACUCUUCUUUCCCUUACUCUUCUUUGGAUUUAAAGAUUAGAUGUAGGGCUAUGAAUGCACUUCUGGAUAGAUUGAUUUCAGAAAUUAAAAUUAAUGUCUCGGGAAUUUUGUGAUGUGGUAGCCAUAUGAAGAUAUCAGUGUGGUACAACUACUGUUAGUAGUUCGUGGUUGAUUUCUUGUUUCUCAUGAAUGGAUCAUGGGCACAGUCAAGUGAGACCCUUGCAAGUUUGGGGGCUGGUCAUCUUGACCCUGUUGGCAAAAACUAAUAUUGACAUACUACUUGAUUAUUCCAUGAAGUUCAAGUCCCAGUGAAAUCUUUAUCAGGAAUGAAUGAACAUAUUUAUACAUUCCCGUAAAUGCCCAUGCCUAAUUUGCAUGUUCAGCUUACUCUAUCUUGUAUAGGCAUUAAAACAGGAAUGUUGUAAGUUCCCCUCUAGCUGAACAUAGUUUUCUAUGUCUUUUGUGAAAAAAAUUGAAUGGGGAAUAUAUAAGAUUAGCAGCAGAGUGAUUUUUUUUUUUCCUCUUUAUGUGUCAGGCGGCCUUCCUAAACUUUCAAAUAUUAGGAUUUUCAUGUUUUUUCAUGUAUUGAGAACACAAAUCUAUUAUUUGCAGCACUUUAAAAAUAUGAAGUAAAAGUUUACAGGUUAGCCCUCUCUGACGAUCUUGUCAGACAUUAAAAUAUAGUUCUUGAGCUGCCAACAAUCAGCUCUUCUUAAUUAAAAGUUACCAUCAGUGAAUAGUGUAUCCAAUGGUACAACAUUCUGGUAAUUCUCUAACAGUAAAACUCCGUUUCAGUAACUAUUAGGAGCAUGCUCUGUGCCCUAGCAUUCAAAAUGUUACUUAUUUCUAUAAUGUGAUUGUUCUUUAUUCAUUGUACAAUGCAGUAUUCAAAUUUGUCCUUGUAGCUCAAAGAUGACUACUGCAACUUUGAAAAUGUUAGAUUCUUAAAACCCUUCAUUUGUUUCUAAGCAGGCUUAUGAUUUUGAGCUGAUUUUUGAGUCAGAGGCCUUAAAAGUCAUACAUAAGCAACAUCACUAAGUCUAAAGUGAAACACUUGAUUUGAAUAAGCUAGUUUAUUAACUAAGGAUGUUUUCUUACUAGGAGUUACGAUAUUUAACAUUUAGCACAUUUCAUCCAACUUAAAAAGAUUAUAAAACUUCGCUGAUUGGGGAAAAAAGUUUCUUUAAUUUUCCAUCUCCAAAACUUAGCUUGCAUUUUGUUUACAGUGCUUUAAAUAUUUGACUUUGAAAAAAUCACAUUGAUACUGGAUUGUGGAAUGAUGAUUUAAGUCUUGGUUGGUAGAAUUUAGAGGAGAUUAAUAACCCUCCCAUGCUGCUUUAGAAGAAAGGAAGAAAGGGGCAGGAAGAUAAAGUGCCACAUAAACACAACAGCUUCUCAAAUGAAUGCAUUCCUAUUCUUGAAUUAUGCUUUUCAGAAAAUGUUUCAGGCAAUGCCUUUGUGUCAUCUUAACCCGUUCACAUUUCUUGGCAUUGACUAUAGCAAGGCCAUAACAGAAAGGCUUGUCAGUAAAGUAUUAAAACAUGACUAUAAACAUUUUGCUAUGAUGCCUUUUUAUACUUGUUUUUUAAAAUGCAUACCUACAUCUAAAGAGUUUGGGGAUAGUGAAAAUAUGAUUUAGUUACACUGUAGGCAAACAGGUUAACCUAGGAAAGGUUUACAAUUUCCUCUCAGAUUACAUGAGCCUGACUGGUAUAGGCUAUGUAGUUAGUUGUCUCCCAUAAGUUACUUAAAGGACCAGGGCACCUGAUUCUUGUUUGUUUUCCAGUUCACCUUGGUGCCAUUUAUCACAUAAACUGUUUACAGGAAAUAGAAUUUCCUUAGCAAAAAGUAACGUUUUUCCUUUAAAAGUAUUAAGUUUAAAGAAUAAAUAUAAUUUGUCAAAAGGAAUAGAGAAUGGCAGUAGUCCUAUAUUUCCUGUAUUAAUGCAAUAGAGGUUGAAAUUCCUGAAGCAAUGAGAAACCUACAAAACUCAAAUUUAGAGCUUUAAAAUAUGACUUGAAAAGUAAUAGAGAAGGACAAAUAGAACAAAGUUCUGUUUCUCUUGACACAAAAUAUUUUUUGCUAAUAAAGAUGGACAGUGCUUCCUUGGUUUAAAAACAUUUUGUUGAUUUGCCAGCAUUUUUUAAAGUUAAUGCACUACUGCUACUACCUGAAAGAUGCCU
ensembl:lncRNA